GUGCCAGCAGCCGCGGUAAGACGAAGGGGGCUAGCGUUGUUCGGAAUUACUGGGCGUAAAGGGCGCGCAGGCGGCUUUGCAAGUCAGGCGUUAAAGACCCAGGCUCAACCUGGGGAAUGCGCUUGAUACUGCAGAGCUUGAGAUCGGAAGAGGAGAGUGGAAUUCCCAGUGUAGAGGUGAAAUUCGUAGAUAUUGGGAAGAACACCAGUGGCGAAGGCGGCUCUCUGGUCCGAUUCUGACGCUGAGGCGCGAAAGCGUGGGGAGCAAACAGGAUUAGAUACCCUGGUAGUCC
rnacentral:rRNA from 1 species